CAAACAUUUAAAACAGACACUCUUAUGAGUGUAAAUUAGUACCACCUUCCUGGAGGAAGACAUGGAUCUUGCUAGUAAAGUUCUAACCCAGAACUCUUAUGCCUUGGAAAUUACCCUAUGGUAUGUCAGCCCAGGAGCCUAAAGAUAUAAAUUACCUUGCUGGAAAUGGUAAAAAACAAAACAAAACACAAAACUGGGUAUAAACAAAAUGUCCACUAACAGGUAGACUGGUUAAAUAAAGACCAGCCAUACAAGUACUUUUCAAACCAAAGUUCUGGUUUUUAAAAUGUGGCAGAUUUAUAUUAAUAUAUAUUAACAUGAAAAGACAUCCAAGCUCUGACAUAGUUUUUUUCCAAAAGCCACAGAACACUGUAUAUGUGACACAUUUUUUUUUAAACGUACAUUUUUUAAAUCUGGAGGGCAAUACCAAAAUAUUAACAGUGGUUACUUCUGGAGGGUAGAAUUGUGGGGUUUUCACUUUCCACAUUUCUAAAUAUUGUGUUUUGUUUGUUUUUACAAUGAUCAUACCAUACUAUUCUUUUCUUUCUUUUUUUUUUAGAUUUUUUGAGACACAGUCUACUCUGUCACCCAGGCUGGAGUGCAGUGGUGUGAUCUCGGCUUACUGCAACCUCCACUUUCAGGUUCAAGUGAUUCUCCUGUCUCAGCCUCCCAAGCAGCUAGGACUACCAGUGCCCGCCACCACACCUGGCUAAUUUUUGUAUUUUUAGUAGAGAUGGGGUUUCGCCACAUCGGCCAGGCUGGUCUCGAACUCCUGACCUUAGGUGAUUGGUGAUCUGCCCACCUCAGCUUCCCAAAGUACUGGGAUUGCAGGCGUGAGCCACAUCACUCGGCCCACACCAUACUUUUCUAAUCAGAGGCUUUUCUUUUUAUUUGAGGGGUACUGACCAAUUAUCAACAAAAUCUACACUUUUCCUAUUACACCUGGGACUCAAAACCCAGGCAGUACCAAUGUAUGUUUAAUUUAUUAAAAUUAAAGGAACAGACUAAAGAACAUAAAAAGAAAUGUAUCUUAAAUUAUCACUCUAGUGGAUGGGAAAAAACAUCCAGCAAAACUAAAUGGUUUGAAUUAUCAAAACAUUGUUUUGGUUUUUUUAACCAUAAGGAAUAAGAAUCUCCAAAGUGGGCAAGUUCUUACCUAAAACACUACAUUUACUUUUUUUUUUUUUUUUGAAACAGAGUCUCGCUCUGUCGACCAGGCUGGAGUGCAGUGGCGCGAUCUCAGCUCACUGCAACCUUCACCUCCCAGGAAAAAACACCGUAUUUACAUAAGGCCUUCAAAGUUAGAAAAGUGACCGUCAAACAGAAGCAGAAGGGAAGAAAUGUAACUACAGCCAAGUGACUAAAAACAAAUAAUGACAAAGAUGAAUUCUGCUUCUCUGUGGCCUUUAAAAAACUUCUCACGGAUUCUUUG
rnacentral:lncRNA from 10 species